rnacentral:snRNA from 1 species
GUGCUUGCUUCAGCAGCACAUAUACUAAAACUGGAACAAUAUAGAGAAGAUUAGCAUGGCCCCUGCGUAAGGAUGACACGCAAAUUCGUGAAGCAUUCCAUAUUUUU